UUGAGCCCACCUGGACACAACAGGAGGCCAUGUGAUGGGGGGAUUCAGCCGGCGAUGCGAAGGGGCGCUGAUGCGGCGGCUGGAGGGUCAAUCAAUAAUGGCAGUGAAGGCGCGUUACUCGUCAGCACUGAUGGUGGAUAUCUGUUGUGCCCCUACGUCCUCCUCCCCCUGAACAAAUGUUCUUUUGUUCUUGGAGGAUGCAGUUCAUGUUGAGGAGCUGUCAUGUGUAAAUUCUGCGUGUGUCGAGCCAUUGUCUUUGAAGUCCAAAAGCGCAAUGAAGGAUUUUUUUUCUUUAAUAGUCACAUGAAAAGGAGUUGCUGACAGAUAAAUCUUAUGUCCAUACUCCAUGUACUUUCCUCGGUUUAUCUACAAGGGAAAUCAUUUUGUUCAGAUUUAACCUAUGGACUUCACCUUUAUAAUGUGUAACUCGAGUGAGUUAUUAAAGGUUGCAGAUUUGGAGUCUGUAUCUUCAACAAUUAUUCUGUCUCAAAUACACCUACCUGACCCUUUCCUGCAAGUGAUUUGUAGUUUUCUGGUACCGAAUCCAUCUUAUGACUGCCUUUACAGAUGUUUCCUACAAGUGCUUGCUUUAAUUUUUUUAUUACAGUAUGUAUUAAAUUUUAAGAAUGAAGUAUAACAAGUUCAUUUGUUUUUUUAGUUAAGCAAUAGUUAUUUAAUUUACAUAUCCAUGACAUUACCAUGUAACAUGUCGCUUUUGAUGCUUAGGAUCAGAUAUAUAUCGGUGAAGAUAUUACACAACUUACCGAGAGAUGAGAGCAUUGCUUAUGUACCGCCAAAUGAGGAUCUGACUGAAAUAGUUAUUACUAAUUUUUUGGAUUAUUAUUCUGCAAAGUUUGAUGUAUUUCUUUCGCAACCUCUUACAAAGAAUCUGAAGACCACUGCAGCUUUAUGAAGAAUCAUGAAACAAACAAAUAUAUAUGUUCAGCUUCAUUUCGAUCUAAACCAGGUCAUCUAGAAUGGAACGGAAAACGUGAGGCAUAUAAAAUAACAAUUGAGGAACUAAAGAAGGCGAAACUUGUCAGAUCAUCUAGGCUCAAUUCAAUGGUGCUUCAUUUUCGUUUUUCCUAUUAUUAAAUGUGAUGUCGAGUAUUUUAUGCCUUUUACUUGAUCAGUUUGUAUUUAUCCAGAAGGGAUAAAUCAUAUAGAUAAUGUUGUGGAGAAACAUCUACUUUGCCAGCCAUGUUACAGAUGCUUGGAGAUUUUGCUUAGUUGAAAUUUCCUUUUGUUUCCAUUUCCAUCUAAAUUGAUUGUACAACAGAGUUUGCAACUUGUUCUUCGCUUAUUUGAAGCCUUGAGGGCUAACGUAAUGUCUUUUCUUUCCGCAAAGGGCACUUCCUGUGAAAUUUCCUCCAGUCAUCACAUAUGUUCUGGUUGAUGCUCUCAUAUAUUUGCAGAAUGUCCAUGAUGUAUCAGGUGAGAACUUACUCAAUAGUGUCGUUAAACUUUAGGGUCACUGUAACAGUCAAUAAAAUCUGCCCAUAGGUGCAAAUCAGAUGGUUGCUCUGCAUUACCAAUCCAUCAGUUAUUUUCCUAUUUAGAUAGGAGGUCAUGUAGACAUGAGUAAUGCAAUAUGUGAGUAUGUUGGAAUCUUGACUUACACAGAUGGUGCUUGUAAGUACUCCCUCCGUUUUUAUUUAGUCCACGUAUUAGCUUUAGUCAAAGUCAAGCUUUGUAAACUUUGACAAAGUUUAUAAACAAAAAUAUUAACAUAUACAAGAAAUAACAAAUCAAUAUCGCUUGAUUUAUUACUGAAUGUACUUUCACAUCAUAUAGAUUUGUUAUGAUAAUAAAUGUUUAUAUUUUUUUCUAUAAACUUGGUCAAACUUUACGAAGUUUGACUUCAGUCAACUCUAAUAUGCAGAGUAAAUAAAAGUAGGAGUAUUUUAUUAUAUAUUCAUUUUAUUAAGCCACAUAAAGUUACUUCAUUAAAUUGGUAUGACUGUCUUGUGAGCAGCGGAGGAUUUGGUACAAAUGAUUUGCCUUCUACCUAGAGCUUUUACUUUUUCUAUCAGAUAAUUCCUCAUACUGUACAUGCCUUUCUUUCUUCAGAACCUACUACCUAAUUAUUACACUCCUUCGAUGCUAACCCCCCUCUUCUAUGCAGGCGAAAAUCCUUUUACAAGUUACCUUCAUGUUUUAUGCCUCAUAUAUUCAUAAAAAUCACCAUCAUUUUAUCGAAAAGAUAGACGGGUGCAGCAACGCGCGCCGGCAUGGUCUAUAUAUAAUAUAACUGAUGGACUAACCAAGAUCAUAGUACUUGGGAACCGUUUAUAUCCAGAAAGAUGCAUACUGGGAGACCCCCAGCCUCCUUGGAGUUUAGCGUUUCCUGGCCGUUGGAUCUGGCCCUUGAUGCGUUCCUGGCCGUCCGAUCUCCUUCCUGGAAGACCGCAGCCGUCGGAUCAAAAAAGGAACUGUAGAUCAAAACAGUAUACAACCCGGGCUGCCACCGCGCGUAAUUCCCAGUUUUCGACGAGGGUGUUUUUGACAUUUCGUGUCCUGGUCCGUUACGUGUCGGCCAUUGAUUGGUUUCUGGAAGAGAGAGGUAAAUAUCUCCUACCACCGCCGUGAUUUGGGAGCCCCGCUGAGGGCGAUAUCGUCUUUUCACGUGCUGCCCCGUUGCGUGGUCGUCGCUGGUUGGCCCGUCAGUGGAUGAGGCGAGAGCCGCGGCUGCCUUGCCUCUUCAUCCUCCCGUUCGUCCCCUUCUCUAGGGCUGGGUCUCUCCCUCGCGUUAACGCCGCCGCCCCCUCUCCUUCUCUUCGUUGCCUCCCCUCGCGUCGCCGCCGCCCUCCGAGAAGCACCGCAGCCGCUGCUGCUCCGCGCCAUAGCUCCUCAGUCAAGCUCGCGCAUCCGCCACCAUGCAUGUCGGCACAGGUGAACACCGAAUUCCUCGAGCAUGGGCUGCAGAGAUGACGAGGACCUCGAGAAGGAGGACCAGGACGUCGAGCCGAGACGGGUUGCCACUCCCACUCCCUCCGCGGCCGAGUCAGAGCCCGAGCCGCCUAGAUCGACGCCCAAGGCAGCGGCGGGCAAGAAGCAGCAGAAGACCACCAAGGCGCCGAGGGAGAAGAAGGCAAAGGUGGAGGAGAAGCAGGUGGCAGAGGACGAGGUGUGCGUGAAGGAGCUCGGCGCUCGGAGGAGCUGGCGCUCGGGGAGGAGGACGAGAUGGCUACCUCCAGGGAGCAGCAAAAGGAGUUGGGGCACGCGGCGGCGGCGGCGGCGGCCAAGAGGCGCAUAGCGCAGGCGACCAAGAAGGCCAGGAACGUGGCCGCCGGCGACAAGGAGCCCGAGUUCCUCGGCAAGCCCCCGUCCCCGCCGAUGAGGCCCGCACCAAGUGGCCGCAGCGUUACCAGCGUGGCUCGCCCAAGAGGUUGUCGUUGUCGCCAUCGCGGAGAAGAUCCGGCUGGCACGCUGCGUCUCACAUAGGUGAUUGUGAAGGCAGAGUCAUAUAACGAACAACAUUCAAGCCUGCAUCUACUACUUCGCCAAGCAACACUAGCCUACAGCAACAAGCUGAAAUUGCGGUUCUAUAAGGCAAGGGAUUUUGCGUCUCUUCACAAAUAAGGAAUAAAGAUAAUUGUCUCUCUUUUAUGGUUAGUUUCAUAUUGUUUUCUGAAAGAAAGUGAUGCCAAUGAUCAAAGAAUAUAUAAAGUCGACGAACUAGGCAUUUGAAGAAAUUCAGAUGAAACAAGAUCCAGUUAUCAGGGUCAAGGGUCAAUAAAACUCAGGCUAUUCCUCGAUGCAUAAUUCUAGAAUCUAUAGUCAGGUUAUCACUUUAGUCUUUUUUGACUUUCUCUGACAGGCCAAUUGAUGUUAGGCACCAUUCUUGCUCCUAUUUGGGUUGGCUACAGCUUUGUCAGGCUGCCAUCGUAUUAUGAUCUUCCAGUGUUCCUUCUGCGGUGUGCAGGAGGUUUGCUACUAAAUACACAAAAAAUAGUGUUCUUUUGCAUCACCAUCCUAUGGAGCCAUGUUCUAAGAAAUAGUAUAUGGUAAACGAUCGGGUGAAUUUUGCACUUACAUUUCUGGGUGUGUUGUUUCAGGAUUUUGGAGGUUCCUGAUUAUAUUUUCUGCAUGCCUUUUGUGGUUUCAAAUAAUGAUUUCUCAAGUUGUUUUGUUUGCAGGUCUGGCAAUAUUCAUUUGCGCCUAGCUCCUAACAUGCAUGGAUCCAUCAUUUUAUUAUUUUGUCAUCUCAUGUAGUUUCACAUGAUGUUAUAGUUCAUUGUUCGGAUUGUUAAUUAGGUGGUAGCGUUGUCAAAAUAAUAAUAAUUAGAAGCUCUGAACCGUGAGAGUUCGAUGGUAUUUCCAAACUGGAAUGACAAUGCUAAGAUUAAAUUCAAGUGGAAAUCAUGUUGGUAUUUGGUGCAUGGCAAGGUGCAAAUUUCGUAACUUUAGCAAGAUGGUCUGCUUGGUUUGUGCUGAUUUGCUCACCCUGACAGUUGGUUUAAUUCUUGUUGACAUGCUCAGUUGCUCCACAUCUAUUAGAUAUUAAAUAGUCCAGUUCUUCUUUCUGUAAAGUUUGGCAAAUUAAAAACCUUUAUGGAGGUUUGCUUUAUUAGUUGUAUCAGAUGUUCUCCUGCUUAGUCUAAAUCAGAUAGGGACUUUAAGCAUAUUCAGUUUAAUUAAUGACAAGCAUUUGUACUAUUAUUGACUUUCUUUAUCUCCUUCUGCUAUGACUAAUAAUGUUUUGCUUAAUUAAACAUUAUAUAGUUCUUCUUGCUUCAUGCCAUUUUUCCAAUAUUAAUCUUCUUGCUUCGUGCAUUUUUCUAUUUCGCUAGAUGUUGGAUGCUAUUGAUGUCCUUGAGGCCCUGGUCAUCUGCAUCGAUAGAACUAAUUGUCAGGGAACAAUUCUUUCUGUAUGAGUGUGACCCUGCCUGCAGAGUAAAAGGUCAUGGUGACAACGCCGCUUGGACUGCUUCUGGACGUCCACGGUGACACCAGGCAGUUCCAAAGCCAACCUGAGCUCCUCCUUGUGGUGAUGUUAGCCGGCGAGCUUCCUCUACCUCCACUCUAUGUGGAUGUCAGCCGAUCCGUGUGUCGCAACAUGCAAGCAAAUCAAAUGAAGGAGUGUGGACAAAGUUAUAUAUCAAGCAAAUCCGUGCGUCACAACAUGCAAGCAAAUCAAUUAAUCAAAUGAGUGUGGACAAAGUUAUAUAUCAAGCAAAUUGGAUGAAGGCGUGUGGACAAAGUUAUAUAUCUAAUGGUCAACCAUGUAGUUUACUAUAGUAUUAUGCAGUAUAGAAAACAAUGUAAAUAAGUUAGGUGGGACUAAUACUAUGGCCUGCUUUUGGUUUCUAUCAUACCAAACCUUGCUUAAGUAUUUCAUGUCACAUUUAUAACAAAUGCGCGAAUGGCAUGUAGAUAGGGUCAUUUUUUAGAUAUUUUACGGGAUGAGUACUGUUGUGAGUAUCUACCAUCACCUACUCUUUGAGUAAUAUCAGAUAUAUUUCCAUCAUGAGAUAUAUUGAGUAAUAUCAUAUGUUAAUCAAAAAGAGUUAUAUCA